UUCACACAAAGAUUGAAUCGGAACAUGUCAUAAGAAAAAGAAGCGCUGAUCAGUCCCUGAGAAUUUUACUAUUUUAUGACCAAAGUGUUUAUAGAUUGGACGAAGAAAGAUUCAAGCUGAUCAAUAAUACGAUAUUACCUGAGGCAGUAAGUUUUUGGGAAAAGGCCCUUUUCGUAAGGAGAACUGAAAACGUCAUACGCUUGACAAGAGAUAGACAUCAAAAACCAAUCUGCAACAAAGUAAGUCGAAUAAGAAAUUGCUUUCUAUCUCUCUUCUGCUUUCGCUGUAAAUGAAGCCAAAA